rnacentral:rRNA from 1 species
AUGUGGUGUUUUCGGAGGGGAGUUGUGCUAACUAUAGACAACCUCACUCGUCACAACUGGUAUGGAAGCAAGAAAUGUAGGUUUUGUACUCAUGACAAGACAAUCGAGCAUCUUUUUUUUCAGUGCAAGUUUGCACGUUCUACAUGGUCAGUCAUCCAAACGGCAUUCAAUUUGUAUCUGCCGACAAGUGUUGCCAAUAUAUAUGAUCACUGGCUCGAUGAAUAUCAAAUAGGUUUACUACGCUAA